GUACACUCCUGCGGGAGGCAGCAGUGGGGAAUUUUGGACAAUGGGCGAAAGCCUGAUCCAGCAAUGCCGCGUGAGUGAAGAAGGCCUUCGGGUUGUAAAGCUCUUUUGUCAGGGAAGAAACGGUGAGAGCUAAUAUCUUUUGCUAAUGACGGUACCUGAAGAAUAAGCACCGGCUAACUACGUGCCAGCAGCCGCGGUAAUACGUAGGGUGCAAGCGUUAAUCGGAAUUACUGGGCGUAAAGCGUGCGCAGGCGGUUUUGUAAGUCUGAUGUGAAAUCCCCGGGCUCAACCUGGGAAUUGCAUUGGAGACUGCAAGGCUAGAAUCUGGCAGAGGGGGGUAGAAUUCCACGUGUAGCAGUGAAAUGCGUAGAUAUGUGGAGGAACACCGAUGGCGAAGGCAGCCCCCUGGGUCAAGAUUGACGCUCAUGCACGAAAGCGUGGGGAGCAAACAGGAUUAGAUACCCUGGUAGUCCCAU
rnacentral:rRNA from 1 species